UAACUCUCUACCCAAGACCGUCACUGUUAAGAUUUUGAUGCUCGUCUUUUAUUUUAUACACAUAAUUAUAAAACAUAAUUAGGCUCAAAUUAUGUAGAGAUGUAACAUAUUUUUCACACAAUAUUAUAUUAUACAAAUUUUUCAUGUCAUUAGAAAAUGUAAAACAUUAUUUUAAAUGACUACAUCUUGUUCCAUUCUAUGGAUAUUUGAACUUAUUUGGCAAUUCCUCUACUGUUGGACAUUUAUGUAGUUGUAAAUAUGUUACUAUUAUAAAUAAUGCUUUGAUGAAUAUCCUUGUACAGAAAUCUUUGUGCACUUCAUUCAUUCAAGAAACAUUUAUGAGCAUUUACCAAGCAUCCCUCACAGUCUUAGGUACUGGUGAUCCAUUACGGAAUAGGACAAAAUCCACACUUUCAUGGAAUUUACAUUGUAGUCGGGGAGGCAAGCCAUACAUAAGUGAACAAAUAAUGUGAUAUCAGAAUAUAAGUGCUGAAACAAAUUAAGCAGGGUAAUGGGCAAAGAGUGACCAUGGAAUAGAGGUUAUUUUAGGUGCGGUCUUUGCAGAAGGCCUUUAAGUAACUGAUGUUUGCCUACAGGCCUGCAUGAUCAGAAGGGGCCAUUCAUGGCAUUCCAGACAAGGGAAACUGGAAGCAUAGAGGCCCUAAGGAGAAAAGUAGCAUGACAGAUUGACAGAACCUCAAAAAGACCAGUGUGCUACAGUCAAAGGAGCAAGAGAGAGAUAUCAAGACGUGAAGGUCAAGAGGUAGGCACUGGAGACCUUGGUGAGUGCUCUGCAUGGUGCAUGCAAUGGGAAGCCAUUGGAGGUAGGGUCAGAACAUGAUCGACUUGAUUUACAUUUAGAAUGUAUUUUAGAUACUGAAUUUAAAAUCAGUUUUGGGGAGCAAGGCUGGAAGUAGAUCCCACCUCAAUCUGGUACCAAAACCAUACAAAGAUAUCACAAGAAGAGAAAACUACAGACCAAUGUUUCUUAUUAAUAUAAAUGUAAAAUCCUUCAACAAAAUGCUAGCAAACCAAACCUAGCAAUGUAUAAAAAGGAUGAUACACCAUGACCAAGUGUGACGUAUCUCAGGUAUGCAAGGUUGGUUUGACACUCAAAAAUCAAUUAAGUGUUCUGGAGUCCUGGACAUGUUCACUCUGCUUUGUCAAAGUGAAUCCCAAGAUGCAUUGUCCCUGAGUAGAAAGAUAGAGAAGAACAUGUGCUUUAUAAAGACUUUAGUUUAGUGGUUCAUAACCCACUGGGGCCACAUGGUAAUUAGAAUGAUGAAUCACCUUUAAGUCCUACCUUCCUAGGAAAUUCAUAUGGAUGGAUGCAAAUGGAAGAAAGAAUCCAGGUCAAAUUUUAGGCACCUUAUUCUGCAAGUUGUCCACUUCCCAAAAAAUAUCAGGGCUAAGUUGUCCACACUCUCUGUAUCCAAAAUGCUCCCAAAAGAAUUGCAAGCUACUUUACAGAGAUGUUGCUUAAGCAUUUAACUGAUGCUUGGCAGGACAAGCUGUCAUCAGCUCUCAAAGGAGAUCCUGUAGUUUUAAUAACUUUAGCAGGUUGUGAUUUGUCGUUACCUCAAGGAAAAGGAAGGGACAGAACAACCUUUAGGAGGAAGUGUGCUAAGAUGAGGAUAUAGAGCUCUGUGUGGAAGAUAUGACAGGAGGAGGGAUGGUCCAAUGAAAAGACUAUCUUUACUUCUUUAGUCUAAGAUGGCUCUCCAGAAAGCCUGCAUCAAAGAUUCAGAUCUAUUGCCCAUCAAAGACCUAUUGCCCAUUGGGUAAUAGGGGCAAGAUGUGUUAGGAAAACCCCACCCAACUGUGGGUGGUGUAUAAGUUGGGUAAAAGUAGGUAGGGCAUAAAGUGAAAGACUAUGUUGUGGGCUUUCUAGAGUCCACCUGUGUGCUUGCUUGGUUAGAAAUAAGCUUCUUUUAAAACACACACACACACACACACACACACACACACACACACACACAAACAUACACACACACAAUGAUAACGAAGCAAAGCCAAACAAAAACCUAUGCCCCUCCCCACCUCCAUCUCUUAAGGAGGCAGUACUAGGCACCUAUCCUGCUUUCAACGAGAAGACUGCUGCUAUUGUUCUUGAAUAAGAAAUCAGAAUUGUGAAAUCGUCUCUGUUAUUUGGUGUCAGUAUUUGAUUUUGAGGCCAAUGAGCUGAAAAUCACUGGUUUAAAAUUAUCUGUUAGCAAUAGAAUCAGUGCUUCCAUUAGCUCACUUUGCUAGUUGAGGUUUCCAUUCUGUCAAAGGAUUCUAGAAUUCUCCGAGGCUUUUUGAGUUGAGUCCGUGUUGCAUGAUUUCCUUUGUCCACAAGGCAGUGAAGUCAACUCUGACCAGCCUUGCACUAUUUUCUUGUCUGUUCUGGCAAAACAAGGACUAUACAUCCACAUUUCAAUGUGAAGGUCCCCUGUGCCACGGCCAUCCUGGUUCUUCCCUGCAGCCCUUUGGAGCCAACCAUCUCAGGAAGACAGGCACCUCCCUGAAGGCUGCUGGCGUCUAGGGAAGGGCACCAUGUCUGAGCAGCAUCCUCGCUGUCACCGCCCUGGCCAGGAGUGACACAUAAGAUCAUCACUGUGCGUGAAUCAGGAUGGAGGACGUGGUUUCCAUGAUGCUCUUGCCCGAAC
rnacentral:lncRNA from 10 species